rnacentral:rRNA from 1 species
AUUGAACGCUGGCGGCAUGCCUAACACAUGCAAGUCGAACGCGAAAUCACCUUCGGGUGAGAGUAGAGUGGCGGACGGGUGAGUAACGCGUGGGAAUCUACCUAUUAGUGGGGGAUAACUCGGGGAAACUCGAGCUAAUACCGCAUACGCCCUAUGGGGGAAAGGCUUCGGCCGCUAUUGGAUGAGCCCGCGUCAGAUUAGCUUGUUGGUAGGGUAAAGGCCUACCAAGGCGACGAUCUGUAGCUGGUCUGAGAGGACGAACAGCCACACUGGGACUGACACACGGUCCAGACUCCUACGGGAGGCAGCAGUGAGGAAUUUUGCGCAAUGGGGGAAACCCUGACGCAGCAACGCCGCGUGAGUGAUGAAGGCUUUCGGGUCGUAAAGCUCUGUCAAGUGGGAAGAAACCAUAUGGUAUUAAUACCGCCAUAUGCUGACGGUACCACUGAAGGAAGCACCGGCUAACUCCGUGCCAGCAGCCGCGGUAAUAC